GACGAACGCUGGCGGCGUGCCUAAUACAUGCAAGUAGAACGCUGAAGGAGGAGCUUGCUUCUCUGGAUGAGUUGCGAACGGGUGAGUAACGCGUAGGUAACCUGCCUGGUAGCGGGGGAUAACUAUUGGAAACGAUAGCUAAUACCGCAUAAUAGUAGAUGUUGCAUGACAUUUGCUUAAAAGGUGCAAUUGCAUCACUACCAGAUGGACCUGCGUUGUAUUAGCUAGUUGGUGGGGUAACGGCUCACCAAGGCGACGAUACAUAGCCGACCUGAGAGGGGGAUCGGCCACCCUGGGACUUAGACACGGCCCAGACUCCUACGGGAGGCAGCAGUAGGGAAUCUUCGGCAAUGGACGGAAGUCUGACCGAGCAACGCCGCGGGAGUGAAGAAGGUUUUCGGAUCGUAAAGCUCUGUUGUAAGAGAAGAACGAGUGUGAGAGUGGAAAGUUCACACUGUGACGGUACCUUACCAGAAAGGGCCGGCUAACUACGUG
rnacentral:rRNA from 1 species